AUGGGAUGGAUCAAUGAUUUUUCAGUCCCUUUUGCAAUUAUAGAAGCAAGGAACAGGUUGAGAGGAGAAAAAAAGGCGGAGAGGAGAUCUUUGAGAGAGACGUUAGGAGCCCUGUGAAAGGGUCUCUUUUGCAGCACUGAAAGCAACAAACAGAGGGAGAGGAGCGGCAAACAAGCUGAAUUAGGCUAACCUGGUCUCCUCCAACUUGGGUCAAGUUCCUCCAAGAGGAAGAGAAGGACAUGAUACAUAAGAUGUUCGUGCUUCUCUAAAAGAACUGAAGCUAUUUACAGACUCUGCUGAGAGGUUGAUGGUAGUGAAACUGUCGAGAUGCUUGGUAAAUGUUGUUGUGGCUGUGAUGUGUGUUUUAUGCAGGGUUGAUAUCCAGGCCAAAUUUGAAGGAGAAGAAGAGAAGGAGAAUGUGGGAAGGCUAUCGAAAUGUUUCUCAAUAUCUCAUAGUUCUGCUCCAGUUCUGUUGAUGGCUCUGUUCUAAUUCUGUUAGCAAACAACCAGGUUUCACAAAAAUCUUGCAUAAAUUAACUAAAAAAAUCCAUAUAGCCUCACAACGAUCAAACUUUCCAUAUUCACAAGCCCGAUUCGAGGAAGGAGAUCCACAGGGAACAGUUGUCGCUGCUGCUGAGGUCGCGAACACACAAAUCCACAACUAGACAGCCAAGACAAAUGAAUAACGUGUUCCUGAUGGUGGCGUCAAUUCUGUCGUAAAGACUGCAACAACCCGCCAUCUAUUGGCCACGCCUAUUAGGUCGACCAGCGUCCUACGGUUUUGGCAGGGGCAUUCGAGUCUGGUGAUUGUUCAUUUCUGAUAUACAUCUCUUUUAUGCCAGGAUGGCAGUAACUUGAUUUGCUAUUUAUUCUUUCUUUUAUUAGUUCACCAAUUGAAUAUUGACUAAUUGCCAACAGAAGGUCUAAAAUCACAGUUGCGCAAAUGUUGAUUGAAGACAAGUGUUCGAUGCAUAGUGACUGCCACUUUCACUCCAAGGAGGCAAUGCUCCCUCUUACAAAUCAGGUUGGCAAUAGUUACAAGCAUAUUCCAAUAGCAUCUUCCUUUGCUGAAGUUCACCCUCUGGAUGUAAAGCACUUGAUGCCUGUGCAUGGAGUUGAAUUUCAACCCUCUGAGAUUUGUCCAGAGGAUUUCAUUGAAGAAUGCGAUGAGGAAGAGGUCAGCAUUGCACACGCACAUGGAAAUUAAUGAAGCAACUGCACUGGUUCUUGCUCCAGUUGUGCUUCAAAACAUAUGAAAAACAGAUUUUAUGUUUGGAAGUACUCUGGCAGUGUUUAUUGCUGUCACAGUGAAAGGAAACAAGAGAAAAUAAAUAAAAUGGUGCGACAUUGAGAGAUAUUAUUGUACUUGGUGGUGACCGAAUAAAUACUGUCAUUGUUUUAGAUGAAGCCGUGUAGGUAUACAAACUGAACGAGUUACGUGAUAUGAAAAAACUGUUGAUCUCAAUUGAUUUCAUUCUACCAUUGUCUUGAUA